rnacentral:misc_RNA from 1 species
GGCUGGCCUAUGGAAGGUAGCCAACAAGUUCAGUAUUAAUGCUGAGAAAUUUAGAUUUUUUUCUUGCACUGGACAUUAUGUACUCAGUGGAUGACAGGUAAAUGUAACAGUAGAUUUCUCAUAUUUAGAGUAGGAUUAGUAUGUUGAGAUUAUGUUCACCUCAAGUUUAAUUUAAUGCUUGAAUGAGUAUAUUUUCUUCAAGGACAGCGGUUGUGGAGGGCAU